CUACGGGGUGCACCAGUGAGGAAUAUUGCACAAUGGGGGGAACCCUGAUACAGCAACGCCGCGUGGAGGAUGACGCAUUUCGGUGUGUAAACUCCUUUUAUAUGUCAAGAAAAUGACGGUAGCAUAUGAAUAAGCACCGGCUAACUCCGUGCCAGCAGCCGCGGUAAUACGGAGGGUGCAAGCGUUACUCGGAAUCACUGGGCGUAAAGGACGCGUAGGCGGGUUGGAAAGUCAGGUGUGAAAUCCUACAGCUUAACUGUAGAACUGCACUUGAAACUUCUAAUCUAGAGUAUGGGAGGGGGAGAUGGAAUUAGUGGUGUAGGGGUAAAAUCCGUAGAUAUCACUAGGAGUACCUAAAGCGAAGGCGAUCUCCUGGAACAUUACUGACGCUAAGGCGUGAAAGCGUGGGGAGCAAACAGGAUUAGAUACCCCCGUAGUC
rnacentral:rRNA from 1 species